CUGCCGAGUGUCUUUAUUUUUCGCAUUCCCCAGGUGGGAAGAAAACAGAAGCAAAUCCUGCCCCUCCUCUAGAGGCAGCCAUUUUGUCUCCUCCCCAUUGUAGCCCUUUUCUUAGUGAUUUACCUCCCCAUCCAGAGGUCUAAAGGUCAGUUGUUGGUCGGAAGGCCUCCACAAUCUUCGGGGCUUCCUGAAGGUCACUGCUGAGGGAACCAACCCGGGAGCCAUCUUUACCAGACAGUGUUAGGAGCUUCACAAUUAGACCAUCCAACACUGUUCUGGAAGAUGGACCCAGAGUCGGCCAACGUGCACCUCCGGGCUAGAGCUGACCAGUUGCUACAGGGACUCUGGCCACAAGCCAGGUGAGGCUGCUUGAGAAUACUCGAGUCAAUCCCACAAACUCAAGGUCAGCUGAGGGUGCUGGAUCCACCAGAUGACAAAUCACAAUGGUUGGGGGAGGGGCUCGGGCCAUUGUGUCCCUCCGGUGGGCAACCAGCCAAUUAAGAGCCAACUCUUUUGCCGCACCUUUCGCUCAAAAUGAAGGGGCUUCCCGGGUAGUCAGUCGUUCCAGAGGGGAUUACAACUGGUAGAGAACUAGGGGCCUAGGACGAUGAAUGUCGCUGACACAGGGAUAGGGGCCUCCAUCAUUACCCGGCAGUAUUAGAGACUCCCAACCAGCACCCAAACACUGCUGGCAGUUCCUGCACCCUCCUCCCCAGCCCCUUCCUCUGUGGCUUCAGACCCUGUGCCUGGAUGGAGCAAACGGGGGCUAAAACCCUGAGCUUCCGUAGUCCCCGGAACCUGCUCGCUUGCCAUGCGCCCCUAGCACUGCCCCAGCACCUGUGACACAGCAGCCGCCCGAUGAAGAAAGCUUGCCAAGCAAGUGGAAGUCACAUCCAAGACCCUCCACCUACUCCUCAGCCUCUGAGUCAGGAGGCAGCCAGUUCCUCCUGAGCAGGCAGACCUCUCACAGGCCUAACUCACCAGGAGACUGGCAUUUUAAAUCAAGCUAGAACCCUCAAACAAAGAAGGAAUCACAGAGAGUCCACUGUGGACACAGGAGAAGGAAGAGGGUCAAAAAAAAUAAAACUGAUCAGAAAUGUGAAGGUGGCCGUGA